rnacentral:rRNA from 1 species
GACGAACGCUGGCGGCGUGCUUAACACAUGCCAGUCGAACGGACAGGCCCUGCUUUUGUUGUGUGCUCGAGUGGCGAACGGGUGAGUAACACGUGAGUAACCUGCCCUUUACUUUGGGAUAACUUCAUUAAACUGGGGCUAAUAUCGGAUAGGAGCUCCUGCUGCAUGGUGGGGGUUGGAAAGUUUCGGCGGUUGUGGAUUGACUCGCGGCUUAUCAGCUUGUUGGUGGGGUAGUGGCUUACCAAGGCUUUGACGGGUAGCCGGCCUGGGAGGGUGACCGGCCACAUUGGGACUGGGAUAGGGCCCAGACUCAUACGGGAGGCAGCAGUGGGGAAUAGUGCAAAAUGGGCGGAAGGCUGAUGCAGCAACGCCGCGUGCGGGAUGACGGCCUUCGGGUUGGAAACCGUGUUCGCCUGUGAAGAAGAGUGAGUGACGGUAAUGGGUAAAGAAGCAACGGCUAACUACGUG